UCAAACGUAUUCAACCACUCAAUCCAUCAUACAUGUUAUUUGUUAUGCUUAGGCUAUUUAUGUAUGCUAGUUUCAACUUGUAUAUCCAUGUUAUUUGUUAUGCUUAGGUUGUUUAUGUUGUUUAUGUAUGCUAGUUACAACUUGAAUAUAAGUUGACAUGUUGGAUUUGAGACAAACUUUUAUACUCAUAUCUUUUUUUCAAACUUGUAUGCUCGCCAGUACUUUUGUAUUGAUCUAUGUUUUUAAUACAUGUUGCAGGAUUUUGAUGAUGCAAGGAAUCUAGUAGGAUUGCCUAGAAACACAUUUAAACUUUAAUACUUGUUGUACUGUAUUUUAUUUUCAAACAUGUUGUAUUUUGUUUCCAAGCCUUGUAUUAAACCGUUAUUAAUGAAAUGAAAUUUUAGUUC
rnacentral:lncRNA from 1 species